GACGAACGCUGGCGGCGUGCUUAACACAUGCAAGUCGAACGGAAAGGCCCUGCUUUUGUGGGGUGCUCGAGUGGCGAACGGGUGAGUAACACGUGAGUAACCUGCCCUUGACUUUGGGAUAACUUCAGGAAACUGGGGCUAAUACCGGAUAGGAGCUCCUGCUGCAGGGGGGGGGUUGGAAAGUUUCGGCGGUGGGGGAUGGACUCGCGGCUUAUCAGCUUGUUGGUGGGGUAGUGGCUUACCCAGGCUUUGACGGGUAGCCGGCCUGAGAGGGUGACCGGCCACAUUGGGACUGAGAUACGGCCCAGACUCCUACGGGAGGCAGCAGUGGGGAAUAUUGCACAAUGGGCGGAAGCCUGAUGCAGCAACGCCGCGUGCGGGAUGACGGCCUUCGGGUUGUAAACCGCUGUCGCCUGUGACGAAGCGUGAGUGACGGUAAUGGGUAAAGAAGCACCGGCUAACUACGUG
rnacentral:rRNA from 1 species